UACGUAGGCAGCGAGCGUUGUUCGGAAUUACUGGGCGUAAAGAGUGUGUAGGCGGUGCUCUAAGUUUGGUGUGAAAUCUCUCGGCUUAACUGGGAGGGUGCGCCGGAAACUGGAGUGCUCGAACGUGGGAGAGGAAAGCGGAAUUCCUGGUGUAGCGGUGAAAUGCGUAGAUAUCAGGAGGAACACCUGCGGUGUAGACGGCUUUCUGGACCAUUGUUGACGCUGAGACACGAAAGCGUGGGUAGCAAACAGG
rnacentral:rRNA from 1 species